rnacentral:rRNA from 1 species
AUACGGAGGGGACUAGCGUUGUUCGGAAUUACUGGGCGUAAAGAGUUCGUAGGCGGACUGAUAAGUAAGAGGAGAAAUCCCAGGGCUCAACCCUGGAACUGCCUUUUAAACUGUCAGUCUAGAGACCGGAAGAGGUUAGGGGAAUACCUAGUGUAGAGGUGAAAUUCGUAGAUAUUAGGUGGAACACCAGUGGCGAAGGCGCCUAACUGGUCCGGUACUGACGCUGAGGAACGAAAGCGUGGGGAGCAAACAGGAUAGAAACCCCUAGUAGUCC